rnacentral:rRNA from 1 species
UACAGAGGGGGCAAGCGUUGUUCGGAAUUACUGGGCGUAAAGGGCGCGUAGGCGGCCUUCUAAGUCGAACGUGAAAUCCCUGGGCUCAACCCAGGAACUGCGUCCGAUACUGGAAGGCUUGAAUCCGGGAGAGGGAUGCGGAAUUCCAGGUGUAGCGGUGAAAUGCGUAGAUAUCUGGAGGAACACCGGUGGCGAAGGCGGCAUCCUGGACCGGUAUUGACGCUGAGGCGCGAAAGCCAGGGAGCAACGGG